AUAUUUACCUGACAGAGGAAACACCAUGGUCAGUCAGAUGGUUUUUCCAGAGUGAGGCUCAUCCUUUGUACUCUGGGUCUGCUGAUCCCUGUGAUUUACCCAAAUGUGGGAAACUCAGCUGCAUAAUUUGUGGUAGUGGGGGUUAAUUUUUUCUUUUC